UACGUAGGGUGCAAGCGUUGUCCGGAAUUAUUGGGCGUAAAGAGCUCGUAGGCGGUCUGUCGCGUCGGCUGUGAAAACCCGAGGCUCAACCUCGGGCCUGCAGUCGAUACGGGCAAACUAGAGUACUGCAGGGGAGACUGGAAUUCCUGGUGUAGCGGUGAAAUGCGCAGAUAUCAGGAGGAACACCAAUUGCGAAGGCAGCUCGCUGGGACGUAACUGACGCUGAGACGCGAAAGCGUGGGGAGCAAACAGG
rnacentral:rRNA from 1 species